CGAACGCUGGCGGCGUGCUUAACACAUGCAAGUCGGACGUGAAAUGUAGCAAUACAGAGUAAAGUGGCGUACGGGUGAGUAACACGUGGGUAAUCUACCAAAGUGUCUGGAAUAACCGAUCGAAAGGUUGGCUAAUACUGGAUAGUUCAAGCUUGUUAUAAUGGCAAGAUUGGGAAAGGAGCUGGCAACAGCCUUCGCAUUUUGAUGAGCUCGCGUCUGAUUAGCUAGUUGGUAAGGUAAUGGCUUACCAAGGCUACGAUCAGUAACUGGUCUGAGAGGAUGAUCAGUCACACUGGAACUGAGACACGGUCCAGACUCCUACGGGAGGCAGCAGUGAGGAAUAUUGGGCAAUGCACGAAAGUGUGACCCAGCAACGCCGCGUGGAGGAUGAAGGUAUUCUAUAUCGUAAACUCCUGUGAGAGCAGACGAAAGACAGAUUAUUAAUUUGGAUGACUGUAUGCUCAGAGGAAGCCCCGGCUAACUACGUG
rnacentral:rRNA from 1 species